GCAGCGGGUUCCAGGAGCCAAAACUGAAGCUGGCUGGGGGAAAGAAGGACCCACGUGGGGGACAGAAAUGGAGAGCUGUUACCAGCUUUCCCGCAUUCUUUCUCACCCUCAGGGCUGGACCCCCUGGCAAAGAUGUGCAGAAGAUUGUCUUCUGUGGAUCUGAGAUGCUACAGAAGAUCCAGGAGGGCCAUUGUAAUCCCUAUACAUCCCCUAUGCUACAGCCAUGAUUUGUCUCCAGAAAGGUCUGUAUCUGAACCAACUAUGACAGUAUUGAAUAACUUUGCAAAGAGCUUUUUGAAAGUCCACUGUGGAAAAGUCCCCUGGUCAGGAUGAAUUGACCAAAAAUUGCCAUCAUCCUAAAGAUGCUACAGAAUUAUUUUUAUGCUUUUUCAUUCAGCAUAAUUGCCUAUUCCAGCAAGUGUAGAGGGACCUUAAUCUCUUACUUCUGAAGAUUUGGAUUUUUCUUUGAAGGGAAACUGCCAUGGUAACUCAGUCAUCCACCUGAAAUUUAAACCUAGCCAAUUUAUCUUCAUUCAUGGUAACCUUGUUUUAGCUGAUCAGGACUCAUUGAUUGAUUGAUUGCCUUAAGCACUGGGUCAUAACUGGUUUUCAUGAAGCUUUGUAGGAAACUUCUUUUCUGAGAGAACAUGUAGUUCACUACUUGACCUCUGGGAUACUGAUGAUCUACUUUUCAAAGCGCUCUAGUGCUCCAUCUAACAUUCUUGACCUAAAGUUCUAGGACCUUCUCUGUCUGGCUCACUGUAUGCUCUUUUUUGAGUGAAAUUUUAGGUCAACACCAGGUAUUUCUGUCUGACGGUUGAAAUUCUGGGACCAACCCUUAUCAUCUCCUGGAACAACACUUCUCUACCCUAUUUGAACAGUAGAAACACCUAGAGAAUUUGAAACAAAAAACAAAACAAAACAAAAAGCAACCCUGUGUCUUGCCCCACUCAGACUGAUAGAACUAAUUCAGGGAGCAGCUUAAGCUUCCACAUUUUUCAAAGUGCUCCAAAUGAUUCUGAUCAAUAACAAAAGCUAAGAAGAACUGCUCUUAAUAUUCGUCUUGCCAGAAAAAUAAGACUGUGUGAAGAGAACCUUCAUCUCAUAUUAGGAAAGAAAGCUUUGAUAUUUCCAGGAAAAUUGGAAGACUGAGCAGGUGCACAAAGCCUCCCACUUGGUUCUGAACACGCAUAUUUAUAUUGAUAAAAUAUAACAAAAAGGGAGAAAGGAAAAGAAAAACCCACAGGAGCCAAAUGGAACUAAAAGCCAAAUGAAGGUCUUGGAGGCAAAGCCUUGAGAGCAGAUCGUCCUAAUGCCAAGUGGAUCAGGGCCAGGGAGGCGGUGGGCUCUGGACGUGGCCGUGGUGUGUCUGAGGAUAUCUAUCCUAGACGUGGGAUUCUCAGCUGUGGCACGAAGAUCCACUGAAUUGUGAUGGAUAGGAAAUUAGAAACUUUUCUCAUAUUUCCUGGGUAUCAGUGCACCCUUAAUUGCCCCUGAAGGAUGACAACUUGAGUCACAUAUAACCCGAUUUAAAGGAAAUGAAGAAAGUGGCGUUUCCUGCACUGGGGUUGCUAUUCACAAAUCCCUAUUUACUAUAGGGGAAAAGGGGAAACUUAGCCGCACCAGUGGGAAGGGUGUUUUCAUGAGGCAAUGUUCCUGAGGAGUUGAAUUUGGAAACAGUCUACUGCAAAACUUUAUGGUCCUGAAGCCUCCAUCAGGAAUGUGGCCCAGACGUCUCCUGUGCCUCUCAGAGGACAUCAGGGAAGAGGCCAGACCUUGAGAAACAUAACCAUGAGAUGCUGAGAAAUAAAAGUGUGGGUGGGUGGCUCUGAGACGCUGGCUAUACCACCUGUGUCUUGUCCUCCUUCCCCUUCUAGGUGGAAGCACUGGUUAAGAGAGAGGCCAAGAGGGUGUGGCAUUUUCAGUUCAGGUCAUUAUGAUCCUCAAAGCUACCCCAACUCUAGGAUGCCACAAUGCACAGCAUUUCUCUUGGUAGAGUUCUUAGGUCUGAUCUGUUGAAAUCUUGGUGAUUCAUCUUCCCACUGUGUGCUGUCCAACACGGGAGCCAUGAGCCAUCAUGUCACUACUCAAAUGUAAACCAACUGAAGUUAAAUCAAAUUCAAAAUUCAGCUCUUCAGCCACACUGCCAUAUUUCAAGGGCCAACUAGCCAUACCGGACAGUGUGCAGACAGAAGUGCAGAAAGUCCUGUUGGACAGUGAUGUUCUAGUUAUUCGAGAUACAAGUUGAAAAGGGUCAGGUUAUGAAGGUGUCAACCAGGGACUUUGUACCAAAGGCCACUUACUCUCAUUACCUUCAGUGAACACUGCAGGCAUCUUCAGUGACAGACAGACAGACAGAUGGAAAAAGGACCACACCAUGCCUUAUGAAAAUUUGAUACAUAUUUAAAGCAAUCAUGUCAUUUCCAGUCUCUCUUUUGGAGGGAUGUUAUUUAUUGUAAGACAUCAUUUUUAUUAAAUACACUGUAAUACAAGAGACUUUCCAUGUCAGGUUGAGAGAAGCUGGUCACAUGAUUCACAAAUAAAACUUUUUUUUUUUUUAACACUGAUAUUCUGGUGUCACUUUGAAAUCAGCCAAGAUGCAGUGGGUCUUAGUAAAGCAAUGGACCUCAAAACAGAUUGCAAAACAAGAACCAGUAAGUAUCAGCACAGAGACGUCACAUUAAAAAGAAAAAAUAAAGCAAAUGAGAAGAGUGUUUCAAAUACCAGGUCACAAUUUAAGGGGCAAUAUAUUCUCAGAGAGACAGUGAAAUAUGUGUGGUGUUUGUGUGUGUGUGUGUGUGUGUGUGUGUGUGUGUGUGUGCACAGCCCAGAUAUAUACAAACAUCUCUCCAUGUACAGAAGCAAAUGCAGAGAGAGUCCACAUCUCUAGGCAGUUCUGUAAGUGAUAGGUAAUGAUCAAUGAAGGCAGGGAGCAAUAUUUCACCAUAAUUUGGUCAUUUGUCAGGGGAUUACAGAUUUAAAAUCCACAUUUAAUUCAAAGACCUUGUAUUUAAAAACAUGUCCAGUUGUUUUAUACAUUUUUAAAGCAAUAGUAAGAUAUACAAGCUGCAAGAUGUAGGCCAUUUUACAUUUCAUUUCAUUUUCUCUAAUUUCUUUAUCCAGUUCAAACAUGUGGCUAUUAGCAGCGUUUAUUAUGCUUGCUCCAGGAGGUUGGAUCAGCCAACCUUCACUCAGCAUCAUUUUUAGUAAUGCACAGACAAAAUAAAUAAAACAAACAUGGACCUGGCCUAGAAUGCAUAGACUUAAAAAAUGACAUCCCCAUGUUUUCCCAUGUCGUCUCCUGAGACGUAUGUUAAGAUGGCAAAAUAGUUGCUUGGUUGCUGUUGUGAAGUUCACAGUGUUUUGCCUGCAACACAUAUACAUAUAUAUAAAUUUUUUUGCUUUGCUUUGUGUUUGUGAUGAAUGGAGCAUAAAUAAAUAAAUAAAUAAAUA